rnacentral:lncRNA from 1 species
AGAUAGUCAAUAUUUAUUCACAGAUGACGUAUUGAAAUGGUACAUCAAAAAACAUUAACAUAUUCAUAUGAAUAUAAAUAUAAAUAGAUAGCAUUGCGCAUGACCAAUACUAUAUAUUAUACCUCAAAUUACGAAGUACAUGUAAGUGAUGACAACUUGAAUGUAAUAUACCACCCACUUAGUACUUCCGUUUUACUCUGCUACUGCAAUGAUUUGAUAUUUCUUCUGCCGGGAACUUUAUGUUGAUGAAAGUACCUUUGAGUAAUUUCCAGAACUGUGCUUAGGAAUUUUGUUUACUUGUUACCAAUCUUAUAAAAAUAAGAAGAUGUGGAAUGAUUACCAUGCAACGAGACAACUCUCCACAAGAGACCAAAUGACACAAUUCUCUUCUUAGAAAGAUCUGAUUAGAUUUGGAACUUUAUCAUGAUGAGUUGUACUGUGUUUAAAUUUUUAUACCUGCUGUUAAUUAUUUUGUUAACGAAACUUUGAUUUUGUA